AGACCACGUUAGAACCUUGGCUCCUGGAGUAGCAGAACCUCAGCUUCAAUGGGACCAUCAUUUCAUAAAUGAAGAAACUGAGAUUUAAAGAGGGGAACUACCGAAGGUCACAGAGCGAGUUCGUGGAUGGGGAAACUGAGCCUCACAUGUAUGAAUUCCAGCAUAUAAGCAACAGACUCCAGAUUUGAACUUGUGUAUCUUGUUCCAGACUUCCCAGAUGACCACCAAGGCGGAAGCGAUGGUGAUGGCCAGGCAGAAGGGAGCUAGGCUGGCCCAGGCUUUUCCUGUAGGCAUAGCGGGCUCCAGGUUCAGCCUUCCCGGACGGUAAUGUUGCUUUCUGAAGAGCUACUUUCCCGCCAACUCAUCUCUGGACUUCUCUGGGGCCCAACUCUGAUUUCCUGCCUGCAGGAGGUCCCCUCUGACUUCCGACAGUAGAUGACCCUUCUGACUCACAGUUCUACUGCUGGGAAAUGCCUCCAGAGCUGCUGCCCACCCCCUCUGCAUCCCUCCAGGUCACUGGGUGUCGAGUCAGGGGAAGCAGGGAUGCACAUGGGUGGGAAACUCAGGCUUCCUAAAUGUCAGAGCCUCAGGACUUUGGCUACUCAGAAGUAGCUCCCUCCUGGGCCACUAGGAAGCAGCAGGGCAGCCAGCAUCCAGAUGUCACUCCUGGACUCUGCUGCUCAGAGGCUAGACGGAGAACCAAGGUGGGAAAGAGGCUUAAACCACAGCGUGGGGAGAUUUAGGUUAGGUGGGUCAGAGGAAGUUUAGGACAAGACUUGUCCUUUUCGGUCUCUAUCCAGCUUCAGCACAGCCACUGCUUCCUCUCUUUGGUUUUUCCCAUCCCCCCCUUUCCCACCACCUCUAUCCCCUUCCAGCUUUUCUCCUCUCCUUCCCUCCUUCCCAGACCCCAGAGUUUCUCAGGAUUAGCUGCCUAUGUGCAUAUCUCUCCCACCCCCAAAUCUUUCCUCACUGUCUCACAGAAACAGGCAAACACAUGCACAUGCACACAACCAUGAGUGGCCCUGAGAGUUCCCUAAUUGGACUGAGGUUGGAGCCCCAGCUCUUGUCCUGAGCUGAGGCCCUUCCCCCAGGUAUCUUGGGGCUUCUUCCAUCAUUUCUCUUGACAGGAGCUGUGGGCGUCUGGGCAGAUGGGAACCUGGGGGAGGUGUGGGGAGCCCUCUCUGAGGCAGGAAGCUCCCACACUACUGUAGUUAAAAUACGCCGGCAGCAACUUGGGGCAGCCAUCUGGGAUGCCCAGAUCUCCCAGGACACUCAGCUCUCAACAACAACCCUAUAGGAACAAAUUAAAAAGCUAAGAGAUAGUUAUAGGCCCUGGAAAUGUCUCCCAAAAGUGGCCUGAACUUGAGUUCUGUUUCCUUUUAUCUUCUCCAGGGUUAGCACUCUGCGCAUUGGCAUUUACAAAAACUCUCUAAGCAUUAAGCAAAAGUUAUAGGAGUGGAAGAUACAGCAUUCUGGAUCUCCAGUCCUAAUACCCAGCCACACCCCAGCAGCUAUGCAUGGUUCCAUGGGAGAACAGGCAUAGCCCAUCCUGCUGGCAUAUAGUCCAGCCACAUCUUCCAAUGCCCACCUGGAGACUGAGCCCAGUUCUGCCCAGCAACAGGAGUUCAGAGCUCUGGAGAGCCUCUUCUGGGGUGCAGACUCAGGAGAUCUUAGCUCAGGAGCAGACUUAGCCUGACUUCCUCUUUUAUAGGAGGAGACAGACUUAGUUAGAGAGGAAACCAGAGUUGUUAUAAAUAGCAAGGAAGGGAGAAAACUGCUAUGGAUUACAAACACACCAUCAAUCUUAAACUAUUUUUAGUUUCAAAUAAUAAUGAGAGUCUAAUUAAUGCUCUGUGUAACUUCAAAUGUGGGAUCUUUAUCUACCUUUCUACUUUGUGAUGCUUUCCAAUACAGUAUUAGGGCCAAAGGCAGGAAGAGAUAUGGGCAAUUCUCAAUGUUACCAAAUCCUAGAUAUGGAAAGAACCUGAGAAAUUUAGUCUAGCCCUUUCAUUUUCAGUGAAGAAACUGACGCCCAGAGAGGUCAAAGGACUUGUCCAAAGUUGCACAGUAAGAUAGGGACUGAGCAGUGACUAAAAGCCUAGUCCCUGUACUCCAGAAGCAGGGCAGUUUCCACAACAGCACAAUAGAACCCAAAGGCUAAACAUCUAUGGUUGGGCUGUUGGUGAGUUUAUAGCCUGGAUAAAAGUUAGGUCUGGGCCAGGUGUGGAGGCUCACGCCUGUAAUCCCAGCACUUUGGGAGGCUGAGACGGGUGGAUCACUUGAGGCCAGGAGUUCGAGACCAACCUGGCCAACAUGGCAAAACCUCACCUCUACUAAAAAAUACAAAAACUAGCCAGAUGUGAUGGCACAUGCCUGUAAUCCCAACUACUCAGGAGGCUGAGGCACAAGAAUCGGUUGAACCCAGGAGGUGGAGAUUUCAGUGAGCUGAGAUCGCACUGCUAUACUUCAACCUGGGGAACAAAGCAAGACUCUGUCUCAAA